rnacentral:lncRNA from 1 species
GUGCUUCCUCAAUCGAUGGUUUAUGUAUUGGUUUAUCUAUCCUUAUAAGUGGUUUGACAGGUGGUUGCCAUUGUGGAUGAACUAUCUGAUCACUAGAUGAAAAAAAUUUUAUAAGCUAUUUCAGAUUCUUGAUCUGAUCAGAAAUUAUAGUCAAAAUCUUCUUCUCCUAAGUCAAUGGGCUCAUAGAUCUCAUCCUAGAUUAGAUUUACAUCAAUGAG